CGGGUGCGUAACGCGUGGGAACCUGCCCUUAGGUUCGGAAUAACUCAGAGAAAUUUGAGCUAAUACCGGAUAAUGUCUUCGGACCAAAGAUUUAUCGCCUUUGGAUGGGCCCGCGUAGGAUUAGAUAGUUGGUGGGGUAAUGGCCUACCAAGUCGACGAUCCUUAGCUGGUCUGAGAGGAUGAUCAGCCACACUGGGACUGAGACACGGCCCAGACUCCUACGGGAGGCAGCAGUGGGGAAUAUUGGACAAUGGGCGAAAGCCUGAUCCAGCAAUGCCGCGUGAGUGAUGAAGGCCUUAGGGUUGUAAAGCUCUUUUACCAGGGAUGAUAAUGACAGUACCUGGAGAAUAAGCUCCGGCUAACUCCGUGCCAGCAGCCGCGGUAAUACGGAGGGAGCUAGCGUUGUUCGGAAUUACUGGGCGUAAAGCGCACGUAGGCGGCUUUUCAAGUCAGGGGUGAAAUCCCGGGGCUCAACCCCGGAACUGCCCUUGAAACUGGAUGGCUAGAAUACUGGAGAGGUGAGUGGAAUUCCGAGUGUAGAGGUGAAAUUCGUAGAUAUUCGGAAGAA
rnacentral:rRNA from 1 species